CAAGUGCCGGUGGCCGCCUGUGUGUGAGGAAACCGUGAAGCUCCGCGCGUCCGUGACUGUUAUUGAAUGCUCAGGUAAUGCAAAGAGAAACACUGAAACCCAAAGGUUGAAGCCUCAUAGUUGAGAAGAGGGUCCAGAGGAGCCUAACUAAAAUUUGAUCAAGGAGAAAGUAUUUGACAGUUAAAAUUCUGAACAAAGCAACAUUCAUCCGCAUCCCCAGACCCUGGAAGAUCUGGAAGGUGUACUGAAGUCAAGAGCUUGGUAAGUAGGGGUAUGUGGAAACAAGGGGGAAGUUCUUGAAAUGAGAACCGAUCUUCGGAGAAUAAUCCCUCCAAUCCCCCCCCCCCCCCCCCACAGACCUCUAAUAGCUAAAGCCAGAGAGUCUUGAACAAAAGGAGUCUGGCUAAUAGGGCUGAAGUGAUUUGCUGUUUAUUCUGUGAAAUUGGGCACUGUUACUUACAGAAUAAGGCAAGCACUUUUUUUUUUUUAAGACUCUACAAACAUUUAAUAGUUGCUUUGCUUUAAUGGGGAAAUGUACUAGGUAAGUAUUCUUUGGAUGAUAAUUGUGGUUUGCUACUUGACCAGUACAUUGAACAGCUCUUCCCUGGUUUUGAUUAUCAAUGCAGGUUAGAGAUCAUCUUGGGACAUUUCAUACUAAAGUGCUGUUACACUCCCUUCUUGACUGGCACAGUAUACCUUCAGAGAAACUUUGAAUGUGUAUGACUAUCUCUUCAUAUGUCAGUAAUUGAUCAUAGGAAGACUUUUUGUCCUUUAUUUAUUUUUCUUAUCUCAUACCACCAAGUCCAACACUGGUUUGAGUCUAAUCAUCUCCAGCAGAGCAGGUAAGUAGUACUCAAAGUAUGUCAACCAAAUUAGUGGUUGCAAUGCUAAAACAAAUUGUGGUAGGACUAUGUCCAUCAAGAUAUAAUCAAAAAAGCAGAACUACACUGGUAAUUUCAAACAGGAUAUUUAAUUACAGGAAAUUGAUUAUGCAAUGUUGAAUGACUGAAAGAGCAAAAAGGGGACAGAUUUGUAACUUAAGAAACAGCUAACACCAUAGAGUUUGGGGAACAAAGGGAAAGGGAUGGAUUUACCAGAACCUAAGAGCUCUGAAGAGGAAUCUCAGCCUGGCCGUUAAUGGGGUUUAGUAGUCUGGUGCUGGGAAAGCAAAAAGAAUUUGCAGGCAAGCUAUAGCCCUCUUCUGCUGCUAGAGAUACUGAAAGAACCGGAAAAUAGGAAAUGAGUUCCUUCUCCCUUUCUGCCUUCCAAUCUCCCUUUAAUGCCUCCACUGGCAAACUAUAACAGUAGCAAGGGAGACUGGGAUAUGUCUUUGUCAGAGUUCCAGCUCCAGUAUCACAGAAUAGAGAAAGGCAUGUUUGAAGCUGAAAUGAUGACAGGGAAAUGAUUAGCAUAUGAUCAUUUUUCAAUUUGCUGGAAAAUAAAUUAAUUCAUAUAAUUUUCCAAGUUUAUUUUUCUUCUCAGAAACUUGUCUUAACAAUGUUACUAAUUCCUUAUAAAAGAAUCCUAUUAGAUGACAAAAAAUGGUGCAUAUUUAGUAACAAUGCAUCUUAAUAACAAAGCAAUUCAAAUUCUGAAAUAGCUCUUGUCUAGUUUAAUAUGUAGUUAUUUGGAUGAACUCAUGUUUUAACCUAUUUUGUUGUAAUUUUGAUAAAAAUAUAGAUUUACAUGUUUUCUAACUUUGUGUUAUUUAAUAUAAAUAUUUCAUGGUGAACCACUAAUCACACCCAUGACUUAACAGUUCUCAAUAUCCUGGGGCGCCUGGGUGGCUCAAUCAGUUAAGCGUCUGCCUUUGGCUCAGGUCAUGAUCCUGGGGUCCUGGGAUUGAGGCCUUCAACAGGCUCCCUGCUCAGCGGGGUGUCUGCUUCUCCCUCUCCCUAAGCCCCUCCUCCUGCUUGUGCUCUAUCUCUCUCUCUCAAAUAAAUUAAAAACAAAACAAAACAAAAAACAGUUCUCAAUAUCCUAACAAGUGUGAGAAUCACAGUAUGUGAUUUUUUUAAAAUAAACUGUUAGCUAUAUUAGUCAUCUCUUUUUUAAUUGAAAUGUAACUGACAUACAGUAUACUAUUUUCAGGUGUACAACAUAAUGAUUCAAUACCUGUAUAUAUUGUGAAAUGAUCACCACAGUAAGUCUAGUUAUCAUCCAUCACUAUACAUAGUUACAAAACUUUUUCUUGUGAUAGAACUUUUAACUCUUAGCAACUUUCAAAUAUGCAAUAUAGUUGUUUUUUUUUUUUUAAUUUUUUUUUUUUAUUUGAGACAGAGAGAAUGAGCGACAGAGAGCAUGAGAGGGAGGAGGGUCAGAGGGAGAAGCAGACUCCCUGCCGAGCAGGGAGCCCGAUGCGGGACUCGAUCCCGGGACUCCAGGAUCAUGACCUGAGCCGAAGGCAGUCGCUUAACCAACUGAGCCACCCAGGUGCCCGCAAUAUAGUUUUAUUAACUAUAGUCACUAUGCUGUACAUUACCUCCCCAUGAUUUAUUUAUUUUAUAAUUGGAAGUUUGUACCUUUUGACCCCCUUCACCCAUUUCACCUUCACCCCUACCCCAUCUCUGGCAACCACCAAUCUGUUCUGUAUCUUUGAUGUGGUUUUUUUUAACUUUUUAAUUUUUAAGAAAAAUUUUUUCAUAGUAAGCCCAAUGUGGGGCUUGAACUCAUGACCCCAAGCAUCACAUGCUCUACUGACUGAGCCAGGUAGGUGCCCCUCUUUGGUGUGGUUUUGUUUUUGUUUUUUUUUUUAGUUUCUUCUUAUUUGAAGGCAGCCAUUAUGAAUUGAGAAUAAAAUAAAAUUGAGGGGAUGCAUGGGUGGCUCAGUCAGUUGAGUCCGACUCUUGGUUUUGGCUCAGAUCAUGAUCUCAAAGUCAUGGGAUUGAGCCCCACUUUGGGCUCUGUGCUCAGUUCAGAGUCGGCUUGAUUCUCUCCCUUUCCCUCUGCCCCUCCCCCCACUUGUGUGCUCACUCUCUCUAAAAUAAAUAAAAUCUUUAAAAAUAAAUAAAAUUGGGGCGCCUGGGUGGCUCAGUUGGUUAAGCGACUGUCUUCGGCUCAGGUCAUGAUCCUGGAGUCCCUGGAUCGAGUCCCGCAUCAGGCUCCCUGCUGAGCAGGGAGUCUGCUUCUCCCUCUGACCCUCCCCCCUCUCAUGCUUUCUCUCUCUAUCUCAUUCUCUCUCUCUCUCUCAAAUAAAUAAAUAAAAUCUUUAAAAAAUAAAUAAAUAAAUAAAUAAAUAAAUAAAUAAAUAAAUAAAUAAAAAUAAAUAAAAUUGAUGUCGGGCUCCCUGCUCAGUGGAGAGCCUGUUUCUCCCUCUCCCUCUGCCUGCCUCUCUGCCUACUUGUGCUCUCUAUCUCUCUGUCAAAUAAAUAAAUAUUUAAAAAAAUAAAAAUAAAAUAAAAAUAAGUAAAAUUGAGAAUGAAGAAACCCCGAAUGAUUUCUUGUCUUAGUUAUUUUGAUUGAUCGCCCAUAUUCUUUACACUAGAAUAUGUAAAACUAGAGUAUUUUUUAUAACCCUGCCUAGGGAAGGAUAAAGCACAAUUUUACCAGGGCUUACUUAGCACUGUUUCCUGAGGCGUUUGGAAAGAGUCCGUACCCUACUAUUAAUGCUAGUGAAGACCCUCCUCACACCAUAAUUCAUGAAUGUCAAAUCCAGAUAAAUAAAAAACCGAUGGCUAAUUUCUGGGGAAGAGAAUUUACAUUUAAUGGGUAACUUAUAAGAUCCAAGAACUGUGUAAUUUCCUUUGUAUAUGUUAUUUCAUUUGUUCUUCACAAUACUACAAAUAAAUAUUCCUAUCCAGUUUACAGUUGGGGGACUCAAAAAUGUGACAAUUUAUAAAAGUUCAGAUGAGAUAGGAGUCAAACUUAUUUACUUCUCCUUAGGCUCACAUGUCUGUGAUGGUACACUUUGAUACAUCAUUUACUAAACCUGAUCUCCUUUAUCAGAGCAGUGGUCUUUGAAAGGUUUUGCUACAUUCCCCUUGAAACAAUUUCAAAAAAUAAUGUAUCCCCUUUUACAUUUUUUUUAAAGUAGGCUCCAUGCCCAGCAUGGAGCCCAAAGCAGGACUUGAACUAAUGAACUUGAGAUCAACACCUGAGCUGAGAUAGAGUCAGAUGCUUAACUGACUAAACCACCCAGGCGCCCCUCCCCUUUUACAUUUUUAAAUUAACAUCUACAAGAUAUUCUUCAGAAGUUUAAAUGAUGCAAAGAUACCAUUCUAGCGUAUUUUCUACAGCAUCAUUAAUUAAACAUACACAAGCUUUUUUUAAAUUUAAAUUUAGAAAUCUUGCACUGGGCCUUUUUCUUGAAAUCAUUUCCAUUCCACUUUCAUCACUGAAUUUUACCUUAAUGUAAUAAUUGCCUAUCCUUAAAAAUCUUUUACUAAUUACCUUGUUUUACUUCUCAGCAACAAAAAUGAAAUUUUAAUUUUUCCCUGUGACCAAAACACUCUAUAAGUGUCAAAAAGCUUUUUAAAGAUUUGUUUAUCCAUUCAUAUAAAGAAGAUGUAAUAUAUAUGUAUAUACACAAUGGAAUAUUACUCAGCCAUCAAAAGGAUGAAAUCUUACCAUUUGCAACCACGUGGAUGGAAAUGGAGGGUAUCAUGCUAAGCGAAAUAAGUCAGAUAAAGAAUUAUCAUAUGGUUUCACUCAUACAUGGAAUUUGAGAAAAAGCAUAGGAUCAUAAGGGAAGGGAGGGAAAAAUAAGAAAAGUCAGAGAUGGAGACAAACCGUAAGAGACUCUUAAUCAUAGGAAACAGACUGAGGGUUGCUGGAGGGGAGGUGGGUGGUGGUAUGGGGUAACUGUGCACCUCCCCCUGCUUGUGCUCACUCACUCACUCUCUCUCAAAUAAAAUCUUUUGAAAAACUUGUAAAAAAAAAAAAAAAACAGGCACGUGAUGUAAUGAGCACUGGGUGUUUUAUGCAACUGAUGAAUCACUAAACUCUACAUCUGAAACUAAUAAUAGACUAUAUGUUAAUUAAUUAAAUUUAAAUAAAAUAAGAUUUUUAAAAAUUCAGUCAUUAUUAUAAUUUUGGUAUCCAGUCGAUCAAAAUAACAAAUAUAUUUAACAUUUUAAUAAUUAUUAAACAUACACAGGGUCACCAUUCGGCUCUCCUUUGGCCAAGUCCCUUUUCUUCCUGGUGAGAAAUCGAUAUGCAAAGAUACCUACAUGUCCACAGCCCACAACCUCCUUUAGACCAUGCUCUAGAUAUCUGAGAAUUUUCCACUCAAGUAGCCUCUAGCCUGCUUCCAGAGCCUAUGCUCUUCUGUGUCUUAAGCUCUCUCCCUUCAUCUGCCCUCUGAAAGGCAAACAUGCUGCCUAUGUGUACAAGGUGGCCAAGUGGUAGCUACAUGGUGACACUAGACAGCUUAGACAUACAAGCUGGGGUGUCCACAGUAAACAUGAGGCCCCUUUUGUUGUGGGAGAGAGGUGGAGUUGAUUAAGAAAAGGGAGCUGGCUGGGGACCACUUGUACUGUUGACCCAGGUCUCUAAAUGUCAGUAACAGGUUUGCUUGUAUACAAUCUAUUUGGAAACCACUGACCUUGUUAAGAUAGGGUGCUUUGAAUUAGGGUAGUAAAUGUCUUUUUUUUUUUUUUAAAGAUUUUAUUUAUUUAUUUGAGAGAGAGAGAAUGAGAGAGCAAGCACAUGAGAGGGGGGAGGGUCAGAGGGAGAAGCAGACACCCUGCUGAGCAGGGAGCCCGAUGCGGGACUCGAUCCCGGGACUCCAGGAUCAUGACCUGAGCCGAAAGCAGUCGCUUAACCAACUGAGCCACCCAGGCGCCCUAGGGUAGUAAAUGUUAGAGGCAAUAAGAAAUGGUCAAAAUGAUAUAAUUUGAGUGUAGAAGUAACAAGAGUGGCUGAUGCUUGGAUGUGAAUAUGAAGGAAAGACCAAAAUUAAAUAUAAUGCUUAAAUUUUUGUCCUGAACUUUUAUAUGAAUGGUAGUUUCCUUUACUAAGAUAGUAAACAAUGAGUAUGUAGCAGGUGUCUAGGGUGGGAGUGGGGGUGGGGUCAUGUUAAGUUUGAGAUACUUGUUGAAUGUUAAAGAGGUGAUAUCAGGUAGGCACUUAGCCCUGUGUGUAGCUCAGUGGAAAGGUUGGUAGUGGAGUAAGAAUUUGGGAUUUUUCAAUUAAGAUGCUUUUAGCUGUAAGUUAUAUAAUGCCCAGCUGGAAGUGGCUUUUACAAUAAAGGUGUUUAUUUCUCCACAUGGCAAGAAGUUCAGUUGGCUAACAGCUAAACAAUUAUAUCAAAAGUAUUUUAUAUCAUUUAUUUUCAUAGUGGAUAACUUUUAUCAAAUGCAAUUGGUUAAUUGCAGAAGUUUGGUUUUAGUGGGAAAUCAUGAAAAAUGAUACAUACUAAAAACAUUUAAGUUUUAUCCUAAAAUAUUUAAAGGCAUAUUCAUUUAUGACUUUCUUCUCUCAAGCGCCACCCAGCUUUUUUUGACCUAAUUUUCAUUGCUGCUUCUGCAUGUUGAUGGAUAGAACCUAAUUCUUGCAGCAUCUAUUUACUGCUGGCUUUGGCACAUUAGCCCAUAGCUAGACAUCAUUCUGAUGCCUUGACUUCAAAUCCAGAAGAGAAAGAGCAUAUGGGGAGGGGAGAGAAAAGAAGUGAUUGAGGGAGUUACACUUCCCUGAGUGAACUAUUUAGUGUAGUUUAGACUCUUAGAAAUGUUAGCGUUUCACAUAUAUUAUAAAUAGAUAAAAUUAACAAAUAUAGUUUUUUAUUGUUAUGUAACAAAUUACUACAGACCCAUUUAUUAUCUCAUAAUUUCUGUGGGUCAGGAAUCUGGGCACAACUUAGCUGGAUUCUCUGUCAGGGUCUUACAAAGCUGAAAUCAAGGUGUCAGCUGGGCUGCAGUCUCAUUGGUAGGCUUGACAAAGAAAGGGUUAGCCUCCAAGCUCUUUUAGGUAGUUCGCAGAUAUGGUUUCUUUGUGGCUACAGAAUUCAGCCAGCAAUAAAGAGAAAAUCUUUGCUUCUGAGAGUCUCACUUUAGGGAAGACUGAGGCCUUCUUAUAAAGAUUUACCAGAUUAAGUUGGACCCACUUAGGAUAAUUUACCUUUCCUUUAACUCAAAGUCAACUGAUUAAGGAACCUUAAUUACAUUUGCAAAAUCCCUUCACAUUUGCCAUACAAUUUAACAUAAAAACAAGAGUGAUAAUCACAUAACCUUUGCCAUAUUCUGUUGGUUAGAAGUUGCUCACACUCCCACUCACACUCAAGGGGAGGGUAUUACCCAAUAGUGUGGUAUUAGGAGUGAGAAUCAUAGGAGGUACCCUAAGAUGUGUUCACAACAGCAAAGAUGGAGGGAAUCCCCAAAUUAAAUACAAACAGAAAUUAAUUCUAUUUCAAAUGAAUAACAUAACCACACUGAAGGUGGGGGGCGGGGGGAGAAGGAACUAACUUGAGUAACUCUCGAACGCAGUGAUUUGUCCUCAGGCCAAAGACAAAAAGAUCUACAAAAAUAAUAAACUCUAGUGAAUGGGUUUGCUUAUCACAGUUGUAUGCAUUAGCAAUUCUGAAACUACUUAAUGUAUAUUCUAAGACUGAGCAAAUAAGCAAAUAUGGAUAAUGGGAACCAGGUUUCUCACUAUAAGAAAAGGGAUUAUAGAUGUGGAAAGGACGAUUAGAAUGAACACUGUGAGGUGGCUCAGUCGUUAAGCGUCUGCCUUUGGCUCAGGUCAUGAUCCCAGGGUCCUGGGAUCGAGCCCCACAUCAGGCUCCCUGCUCAGCGGAAAGCCUGCUUCUCCCUCUCCCACUCCCCCUGCUUAUGUUCCUUCUCUCGCUUUGUCGCUGUCAAAUAAAUAAAUAAAAUCUUUAAAAAAAGAAAAAAAAAGAAUGAACACUGUGAUGUUGAAUUAAAAUUGGAAGUACCCAUAUGAACAGAUUUUUUUUUUCCCGGGAAUAGACAGAUAUGUGUGUAUACAUACACACAUAUAAAUCUUCUAGCUCUGUCGGCAGAGAUGGCUUAAGAACAAUGAGCACAAUUCUCACCUAGGUCUUGGUUUCUUAAUAUUCCCCACUAAAAGUAACCAUAGUUUCUUGGAGAAAUAGCUAAUUCCAGGGCUGAGGCUGGGAAAAAGUACAAAAUGAGCCUUCAGUUUCUCUCUGUGAGAAAUUAAGGAGAUGCUUAAAGAAUGAUGGGUAGGGGCACUGGGGGCUCAGUUGGUUAGGCAACUGCCUUCGGCUCAGGUCAUGAUCCCAGGGCCCUGGGAUUGAGCCCCGCAUCCUCAGCAGGGAGCUCACUUCUACCUCUCCCUCUGCCCUUCUCCCAUACUCGUGCUCUCUCUCCCUCUCAAAUAAAUAAAUAAAUAAAAUCUUUUUAAAAAGUUGGGGGAGGAGACAUGUCAAAACGACACAGGAGCCAGCUUUAAAGGGGCUCCCACUGGCCAAAUCUAGGAAACUGAAUUAAAAGUUAUAAAAAGGAUAUAUAAUACUCAUAUCCCAUAGUCACCCAAUUCACCACUCAGAGACAACCUAUCAGCCAGGAUUCCCUCAAGAAACCAGAAUUCUCAAUUUCUCCCUUCUUUUCCACAUUCCAAAUCUUGUGCAAGUGUCUCUCUGACACUCUAACUAGGAGCCAUAUGGAAAGAUGGUUCUGAGAAAUGUCAUUCACAGCUUCUCCUCUGGAGAGCAUAAUAUGGGGUAGCAGGAAUAUUCAGUUGUCAACAGACAGUGCAGCUCACAACAUAAUGUUACCUGUGUCUUGAGUUUCCUCCCAGAGGCAUAUAUAAACAGUUAAAUAUUCACUGAAAUAUAUACUUAUGUUCUUUUUUCUUUGAAUGGCAGCAUAUGACCAUACUAUUCUGCCCUUGAUUUCUUCACUUACUGUUAUCUUAAUGACUAUUUCAUUUGCAUAAAUAGAGUUGACAUCAUUCUUUUUUAAUGGCUGCACAUUAUACCAUUGAAUGAUUGUACCAUAAUUCACCUGAUUGUUGUUUGUGUGUCUCAACCAGGCAUUUGUUUCCAUUCUAUAGAGUGCUCUGGGGGAAGACUGAUACCCUACAUAUUGGGUGGUCACUCAUGCAGACAAGAACAAUUUUUGUGUGGCAUGCUGAGAUCACGUUCAUUAAAAAAAAAAAAAAAGGCUCACAAGGACCCUACAAAAUGUCUUUGGUGCUGCCUAUGCCUCUGUUGCCAAAAUAUAUUUUGAUCUUCAGGGUUAUAGUGAAAAACACCCAUCUUAUCCCUGUGGCACACUCAAGGGGUUAAUUGUUGAAUUAACAAUUACCCUCGGGGGGGAGGGGUCCCGAAUCCUGAUGAUACUGAUUUGAAGUACUCUAGAAGAAGAAACUUAAAAAUAUGAGCAGGAUAGAGAGGACUUCCCUGAAGUAUAUCCACUAUUCCAACCCACCCACCCACCCAGUUAAAAAAAUAAAUGAAGGAAGGAAGAAGGGAAGGUAAGAAGAAUGGAAAGAAAGAAGGGAAGAGUUACUUUCUGUUAUAGCUAACAUUGAUUUUUUAGUUAUCUAUCCAAAGCACUCUACAAACGUGACUUUCUGAUACUUAUAUUGUACAUUUCACCUUAUCUAAAUUAAGGAAAAUAAAAUCCUAUGCAGUAAUCCAAUAUGGUCACAUGAUGAGUGAAGUCUAUGGUAAAAUCAAGAUACAAAAAGUAUUAGAGAGCUCACUUGGGAUGCUGUACUAUUUUUGUCUGUUCAGCUACCUAUCCCAAUAAGGUGGGAAAGGCAAGGAGAAGUAGGUAGGAAAAAUUCACCCAUUAACUGCAAAAAAGCAAUGCAAUAGAUAAAGGAUAGUAUUUUAAAGAUUGUACUAAAAAAACUGGAUAGUCCAAAGAGAAGAAAAUAAUCAACCCCUACAUCACACCAUUCACAAAAAUUAAUUUGAGAUACCUAACAUAUCUAGAUGAAAAUAUAGGAGAAUAUAUUUAUGACGUGGGGUUAGGCAAAGACAAAAAAAGCCAUAACAAAAAAAGAAAAAUGUGAUAUAUUCCAAUUAAUUAGAUUAAAAACUUCCAAUGAUACCAUUAAGAAAAUGAUUAAGCAAACCACAGGACAGGAGAAAGUAUUCAAAAUACACAUUUCUUACCAAGCAAGGACUUAUAACGAGAAUAUAUAAUCAAUUCCUAUAACUAAAAAAUCAGGGGCACCUGGGUGGCUCAGUCAGUUAAGCACCUGCCUUUGGCUCAGGUCAUGAUCCCAGGGUCCUAGGAUCAAGUCCCACGUCAGGCUCCCAGCUCAGUGGGGAGCCUGCUUCUCCCUCUGCCCCCUGCUCGUGCUCUCUCUCUCUCUCUCUCUCUCAAAAAAUAAAUAAAUAAAAUCUUGGGGCGCCUGGGUGGCUCAGUUGGUUAAGCGACUGCCUUUGGCUCAGGUCAUGAUCCUGGAGUCCCGGGAUCGAGUUCCUCAUCGGGCUCCCUGCUCAGCGGGGAGUCUGCUUCUCCCUCUGACCCUCCCCCAUCUCAUGCUCUCUCUCUAUCUCAUUCUCUCUCUCAAAUAAAUAAAAUCUUUAAAAAUAAAUAAAUAAAUAAAUAAAUAAAUAAAUAAAUAAAUAAAUAAAAUCUUUAAAAAAAUAAAAAAAAUCAAACAACCCCAAUAAAAAAGUGCAAAGAAGAUGUGAUGUGUGUGUAUAUAUAUGUGUGUGUGUGCACACACACAAUGGGAUAUUACUUAGCCAUCAAAAAUGAUAUCUUAUCAUUUGCAAUGACGUGGAUGGAACUAGAAGGUAUCAUGCUAAGUGAAAUAAGUCAAUCAGAGAAAGAUAAUUAUCAUAUGAUUUCACUCAUAUGUGGAAUUUAAGAAACAAAACACAGAAGCAUAGGGGAAGGGAGGGAAAAAUAAAACAAGAUGAAAUCAGAGAGGGAGAUAAACCAUGAGACUCUUAAUCAUAGGAAACAAACUGAGGGUUGCUGGAGGGGAGAGGGGUAGUGGGAUGGGGUAAUUGGGCGAUGGGCAUUAAGGAGGGCAUGUGAUGUAGUGAGCACUGGGUGUUACAUACAACUGAUGAAUCACUGAACUCUACCUCUGAAACUAAUAAUACACUAUAUCUUAAUUAAUUGAAUUUAAAUAAAAUGAAAUAUAAUUUAAAAAAAGAAAAAUUAAGAAAAAAAAACAAGACCCAUCUAUAUAUUGCCUCCAAGAAACUCAUUUCAGACUGAAAGAUGCAUGCAGAUUGAAAGUGAGGGGAUGGGGAAACAUUUAUUAUGCAAAUGGAUAUCAAAAGAAAGCUGGGGUAGCAUUACCUGUAUUGGACAAAAUAGACUUUAAAACAAAGACUAUAACAAGAAACAAAGAAGGACACUAUAUAAUAAUAAAGGGGACAAUGCAAUAAUGAGAUAUAACAAUUGUAAAUAUUUAUGCACCCAACAUGGGAGCACCCAAAUACAUACAACAAUUAAUAAUAAACAUGAGGGAAGUAACUGAUAGUAAUAUAAUAGUAGUAAGGAACUUUAUCACACUAUUUAUAUUGAUGGACAGAUCAUCUAAACAGAAAAUCAAUAAGGAAAUAGUGGCUUUGGAUGACAUACUGGGCCAGAUGGAUAUAAUAGGUAUGUCCAGAACAUUCCAUCCUAAAACAGCAGAAUACACAUUCUUUUCAAAUGCACAUGAAACAUUCUCCAGAACAGAUCACAUAUUAUGUCACAAAACAACUCUCAACAAAUUCAAAAAGAUUGAAGUCAUACCAUGCAUUUUUCUGACCACAACACUAUGAAACUGGAAGUCAGCCACAAGAAAAAAUCUGUAAAAAGCACAACUAUAUGGAGGUUAAAUAACACGCUACUAAACAGGAAAUGGGUAAAUCAAGAAAUCAAAGAGGGAAUUUAAAAAUUACAUGGAGGGGCGCCUGGGUGGCUCAGUCAGUUAAGCGUCUGCCUUCGGCUCAGGUCAUGAUCCCAGGGUCCUGGGAUGGAGCCCCGCAUCAGGCUCCCUGCUCCGCGGGAAGCCUGCUUCUCCCUCUCCCACUCCCCCUACUUGUGUUCCCUCUCUCGCUGUGUCUCUCUCUGUCAAAUAAAUAAAUAAAAUCUUAAAAAAAAUAAAUAAAUAAAAAUAAAAAUAAAAAUUACAUGGAAACUGGGGCGCCUGGGUGGCUCAGUCGUUAAGCGUCUGCCUUCGGCUCAGGUCAUGAUCCCAGGGUCCUGGGAUCGAGCCCUGCAUCGGGCUCCCUGCUCCGCGGGAAGCCUGCUUCUCCCUCUCCCAUUCCCCCUGCUUGUAUUCCCUCUUUCGCUGUGUCUCUCUCUGUCAAAUAAAUAAAUAAAAUCUUUAAAAAAAAAAAAAUUACAUGGAAACAAAUGAAAAUGAAAAUCCAAUGAUCCAAAAUCUUUGGGAUGCAGCAAAAGCUGGUGUGGAGGGGGAAGUUUAUAGCAAUACAGGCCUACCUCAAGAAGCAAGAAAAAUCUCAAAUAAACAACCUAACCUUUUGCCUAAAGGAGCUAGAAAAGAAGAACAAACAAAACCCAAAACUAAUGGAAGGAAGAAAAUUGUAAAAUUGGAGCACAAAUAAAUGACACAGAAACUAAAAAAAAAAACAGUAGAACAGAUCAAUGAAA